rnacentral:rRNA from 1 species
CCUACGGGUGGCUGCAGCAAGGAAUUUUCCCCAAUGGGCUCACGCCUGAGGGAGCAACGCCGCGUGCAGGACGACGGCCUUCGGGUUGUAAACUGCUUUUGGGCGGGACGAUACUGACGGUACCGCCCGAAUAAGCCCCGGCUAACUCCGUGCCAGCAGCCGCGGUAAGACGGAGGGGGCAAGCGUUGUCCGGAGUUACUGGGCGUAAAGGGCACGUAGGCGGUUGCGUGCGUCGGUGCUGAAAGCGCCGGGCUUAACCCGGCGAGGCGUGCCGA